ACGGCGAGUGAGCGGCAAAAGCUCAAAUUUGAAAUCUGCGUAAGCCGAGUUGUAAUUUGAAGAUGGCUACUUUGGUAAUGGCUCUUGUCUAUGUUCCUUGGAACAGGACGUCACAGAGGGUGAGAAUCCCGUGCGAUGAGAUGUCCAUUACCGUGUAAAGUGCUUUCGAAGAGUCGAGUUGUUUGGGAAUGCAGCUCUAAGUGGGUGGUAAAUUCCAUCUAAAGCUAAAUAUUGGCGAGAGACCGAUAGCGAACAAGUACAGUGAUGGAAAGAUGAAAAGAACUUUGAAAAGAGAGUGAAAAAGUACGUGAAAUUGUUGAAAGGGAAGGGCUUGAGAUCAGACUUGGUAUUUUGUAUGGCUUGCUUUCGGGCGGGUCCUCUGCAGUUUACUGGGCCAGCAUCGGUUUGGGUGGCAGGAUAAUAGCAUUGGAAUGUGGCUCUACUUCGGUGGAGUGUUAUAGCCUUUGUUGAUACUGCCUGCCUAGACCGAGGACUGCGUCUUUUGACUAGGAUGCUGGCAUAAUGAUCCUAAGCCGCCCGU
rnacentral:rRNA from 1 species